rnacentral:rRNA from 1 species
UACGUAGGGGCAAGCGUUGUCCGGAAUUACUGGGCGUAAAGCGCGUGUAGGCGGGACGGUUAGUCGGACGUGAAAGGCUGGGGCUCAACCCCAGAUCGCCGUUCGAAACUGCCGUUCUUGAGGGUCGAAGAGGAGAGUGGAAUCCCUGGUGUAGCGGUGAAAUGCGUAGAGAUCAGGAGGAACACCCAUGGCGAAGGCAGCUCUCUGGUCGACAUCUGAACGUGAGACGCGAAAGCGUGGGGAGCGAACGGG